rnacentral:rRNA from 1 species
AUUGAACGCUAGCGGGAUGCUUUACACAUGCAAGUCGAACGGCAGCGCGGACUUCGGUCUGGCGGCGAGUGGCGAACGGGUGAGUAAUGUAUCGGAACGUGCCCAGUAGCGGGGGAUAACUACGCGAAAGCGUGGCUAAUACCGCAUACGCCCUACGGGGGAAAGCAGGGGAUCGUAAGACCUUGCACUAUUGGAGCGGCCGAUAUCGGAUUAGCUAGUUGGUGAGGUAACGGCUCACCAAGGCGACGAUCCGUAGCUGGUUUGAGAGGACGACCAGCCACACUGGGACUGAGACACGGCCCAGACUCCUACGGGAGGCAGCAGUGGGGAAUUUUGGACAAUGGGGGCAACCCUGAUCCAGCCAUCCCGCGUGUGCGAUGAAGGCCUUCGGGUUGUAAAGCACUUUUGGCAGGAAAGAAACGUCGCGGGCUAAUACCCCGUGGAACUGACGGUACCUGCAGAAUAAGCACCGGCUAACUACGUG